UACGGGGGGGGCAAGCGUUGUUCGGAAUUACUGGGCGUAAGGGGCUCGUAGGUGGCCAACUAAGUCAGACGUGAAAUCCCUCAGCUUAACUGGGGAACUGCGUCUGAUACUGGAUGGCUUGAGUUUGGGAGAGGGAUGCGGAAUUCCAGGUGUAGCGGUGAAAUGCGUAGAUAUCUGGAGGAACACCGGUGGCGAAGGCGGCAUCCUGGACCAAUACUGACACUGAGGAGCGAAAGCCAGGGGAGCAAACGGG
rnacentral:rRNA from 1 species